rnacentral:rRNA from 1 species
CACGUAGGGCGCGAGCGUUGUCCGGAAUUAUUGGGCGUAAAGAGCUCGUAGGCGGCCUGUUGCGUCCGCUGUGAAAGCCCGGGGCUUAACCCCGGGUCUGCAGUGGAUACGGGCAGGCUAGAGGUAGGUAGGGGAGAAUGGAAUUCCCGGUGUAGCGGUGAAAUGCGCAGAUAUCGGGAGGAACACCGAUGGCGAAGGCAGAUCUCUGGGCCGUAACUGACGCUGAGGAGCGAAAGCAUGGGGAGCGAACAGG